rnacentral:rRNA from 1 species
AUGAACGCUGGCGGCGUGCCUAAUACAUGCAAGUCGAGCGAACGGACGAGAAGCUUGCUUCUCUGAUGUUAGCGGCGGACGGGUGAGUAACACGUGGAUAACCUACCUAUAAGACUGGGAUAACUUCGGGAAACCGUAGCUAAUACCGGAUAAUAUUUGGAACCGCAUGGUUCAAAAGUGAAAGACGGUCUUGCUGUCACUUAUAGAUGGAUCCGCGCUGCAUUAGCUAGUUGGUAAGGUAACGGCUUACCAAGGCAACGAUGCAUAGCCGACCUGAGAGGGUGAUCGGCCACACUGGAACUGAGACACGGUCCAGACUCCUACGGGAGGCAGCAGUAGGGAAUCUUCCGCAAUGGGCGAAAGCCUGACGGAGCAACGCCGCGUGAGUGAUGAAGGUCUUCGGAUCGUAAAACUCUGUUAUUAGGGAAGAACAUAUGUGUAAGUAACUGUGCACAUCUUGACGGUACCUAAUCAGAAAGCCACGGCUAACUACGUG